ACGAGGAAUUCUGCGUGAAUCUGCCGGGACCAUCCGGUAAGGCUAAAUACUCCCGUGAGACCGAUAGCGAACGAGUACUGUGAAGGAAAGGUGAAAAGAACCCCGAGCAGGGGAGUGAAAUAGUUCCUGAAACCAUACGCCUACAAGCGGUCGGAGCAUCUUACGAUGUGACGGCGUGCCUUUUGCAUAAUGAUCCUACGAGUUACCGUCACUGGCGAGGUUGAGUGUCAUGAGACACGUAGCCGCAGUGAAAGCGAGCCUGAAGAGGGCGCACAGUCAGUGGGGGUAGACGCGAAACCAAGUGAUCUACACUUGGCCAGGAUGAAGUCCCGGUAACACGGGAUGGAGGUCCGCACCAAUAAGCGUUGAAAAGCUUCUGGAUGAGCCGAGUGUAGGAGUGAAAGGCCAAUCAAACUUGGAGAUAGCUCGUACUCCCCGAAAGGCAUUUAGGUGCCGCGUCGGAUGGUCACCGUGAGAGGUAGAGCGACCGAUAGGACAAGAGGGCUUCACCGCCUAUCGAGUCCUGACGAACUCCGAAUGCUCACGGUCUGCAGUCCGGCAGUAAGGGGGCGGGUGCUAAGGUCCGUCCCCGAGAGGAGAAGAAUCCAGACCGCCGUCUAAGGUCCCGGAGUUCUGCCUGAGUUAGUCUAACGAAGUCUGGUCCCUAUGACAGCUAGGAUGUUGGCUUGGAAGCAGCCAUUCAUUCAAAGAGUGCGUAACAGCUCACUAGUCGAGGGUCCGGGCAUGGAUAAUAAUCGGGUAUAAGGCAGACACCGAAGGCGCGGGAUAGCAUUUAAGAAAGUAUCGGUAGGGGAGCAUACUCACAGCGUUGAAUGGUGUACGUAAGUUAUCCUGGAGCGGUGAGUAAAGCAAAUGUAGGAAUAAGUAACGAUAAGGAGGGUUAGAUUCCCUCCCGCUGUAAGACCAAGGUUUCCCGGGCAAUGCCAAUCAGCCCGGGGUCAGUCGGGUCCUAAGUCUAAGCCGAACGGCGAUGGCGAUGGCAGAGACGGUUAAUAUUCCGUCACUGCCGCAUGGGGCGACGUGGAGACGGAGCAGUGAAACCACCGCGGGGCGACGGAAGUCCCCGUUGAAGAGUGUAGGUGUUGAGGAUGGCAGGCAAAUCCACCGUCCGAGCUGAACUUGAUAGUAUGGAGUCUUCUUCGGAAGAAUCCAAUAGUGUGGGUAAUCAUACUCCCGAGAAAAUCCGCUAAGCUUAACCCAUGCGGCACCCGUACCGCAAACGGACACACGUGGUCGGGUAGAACAUACUAAGGCGUUGAGAGAUUCAUGGUUAAGGAACUAGGCAAAUUGACCCUGUAACUUCGGGAUAAAGGGUCCUCGUGAAGAGCGAGGCGCAGAGAAUAGGUCCAGGCAACUGUUUAACAAAAACACAGGGCUGUGCAAACUCGAAAGAUGACGUAUACAGCCUGACACCUGCCCGGUGCCGGAAGGUUAAGAGGAGAUGUCACUCGCAAGAGGAAGCAUUGAAUUGAAGCCCCGGUAAACGGCGGCCGUAACUAUAACGGUCCUAAGGUAGCGAAAUUCCUUGUCGGGU
rnacentral:rRNA from 1 species